rnacentral:rRNA from 1 species
CACGUAGGGUGCGAGCGUUGUCCGGAAUUAUUGGGCGUAAAGAGCUCGUAGGCGGUGUGUCGCGUCGGCCGUGAAAACCUGCAGCUUAACUGUGGGCUUGCGGUCGAUACGGGCAUCACUGGAGUUCGGCAGGGGAGACUGGAAUUCCUGGUGUAGCGGUGAAAUGCGCAGAUAUCAGGAGGAACACCCGGUGGCGAAGGCGGGUCUCUGGGCCGAUACUGACGCUGGAGGCGCGAAAGCCUAGGGUAGCAAACGGGG